rnacentral:misc_RNA from 1 species
GUAAGCAAUCAGGGAAGGAUAUUGAUGAAGCAUCCAAAGAUGGUUCGUCCUGUUAAUUUCUCUCUGACCUUCAUGGUGAAUGAUAUCAGUAGCACAAUUUUGCUGUCAGUAACCAGUUUGGCUAAAUUCCUGACAUUAUCUCUUAAAAAUUAUAUAGUUGCCAUGCCCCUAAAAAUAAAAAAUAAAAACCGCAAAGAAAUAAUUAAUAAAAGGAGAUAAAGGCAAAGUGGCCCAUUAAUGUUUUCAUUCAGAAGAAAAGAAAACCAGAUAUUGGCAUUUGAUUAUAUUUUGAUGCCUUUCUUCUUAGAAAAGCCUAUUUAUGUUAACUCUAUGUAAUUAGAAACCUAAAUCUAAACUGAAUGUUUAUAUUGUCCCUGUUUGUGCGAACUAUCUUCCCCACUUCCUGAAGGGUUGUCUGGAGCAUACCUUUUCAAAAGCCCUGGUGGCAGUAAUUCUUCACCAAUUAUUACUUCUUCCUAUAUGAAUGAGUAAGAUGAUUUUUCUUCUUCACUCAAAAAGUCACCCGUGUGUAGUUGAAUUACUGAAUUAUGUAAAUAUUAUUUUUUAGGGGUUAUGAAGUGAAGGAGGCAUUAAGAGUGCAAAUG